CUUCUCUCCAGUCUGCUGCAGGCAUAACAUUAAAAAAAUAGGGUUUUGCCAUGUCAUAGUGAUGAAUUGCAAAGGAAUUUGACCAUUUCAUUCUUGUUCAGUAAUCUUCAUUUUUAUGAUGGAGACUGCACACCUACUACUUACCUACAGGAUUAUUUCUUGUUUUAGGACACGACUGUAUGGUUUAUUCCCCCCUUUUAACCUGCCAUUUUUCAUAAAUCUACGUUCUUUGUUGAUUAAAGUAGAUUUCUCCUAAUUGUUCAGUAAAAUGACAUUAGGUGGGUUAGACACCUACUUUCGGCUCAAAUCUAAAAUGUGC